GACAGAGGGUGCAAACGUUGCUCGGAAUUACUGGGCGUAAAGCGCGUGUAGGUGGUCUGGUAAGUCGGGUGUGAAAGCCCGGGGCUCAACCCCGGAAGUGCGCCCGGGACUGCCAGGCUGGAGUGCUGAAGAGGAGAGCGGAAUUCCCGGUGUAGAGGUGAAAUUCGUAGAUAUCGGGAGGAACACCUGUGGCGAAAGCGGCUCUCUGGGCAGCAACUGACACUGAGACGCGAAAGCGUGGGGAGCAAACAGG
rnacentral:rRNA from 1 species